UACGUAGGGGCAAGGCGUUGUCCGGAUUAUUGGCGUAAAGAGCGUGUAGGCGGCCAGGUAGGUCCGUUGUGAAAACUAGAGGCUUAACCUCUAGACGUCGAUGGAAACCAUCUGGCUAGAGUCCGGAAGAGGAGAGUGGAAUUCCUGGUGUAGCGGUGAAAUGCGCAGAUAUCAGGAAGAACACCCGUGGCGAAGGCGGCUCUCUGGGACGGUACUGACGCUGAGACGCGAAAGCGUGGGGAGCGAACAGG
rnacentral:rRNA from 1 species